rnacentral:rRNA from 1 species
AUUGAACGCUGGCGGCAUGCCUUACACAUGCAAGUCGAACGGCAGCACGGGAGCAAUCCUGGUGGCGAGUGGCGAACGGGUGAGUAAAGUAUCGGAACGUGCCCAGUCGGGGGGGAUGACGUAGCGAAAGUUACGCUAAUACCGCAUACGAUCUAUGGAUGAAAGCGGGGGAUUGCAAGACCUCGCGCGAUUGGAGCGGCCGGUAUCAGAUGAGGUAGUUGGUGGGGUAAAGGCUCACCAAGCCGACGAUCUGUAGCUGGUCUGAGAGGACGACCAGCCACACUGGGACUGAGACACGGCCCAGACUCCUACGGGAGGCAGCAGUGGGGAAUUUUGGACAAUGGGCGAAAGCCUGAUCCGGCCAUGCCGCGUGCAGGAUGAAGGCCUUCGGGUUGUAAACUGCUUUUGUACGGAACGAAAAGGUUUGGGCUAAUAAGCUGAGCUCAUGACGGUACCGUAAGAAUAAGCACCGGCUAACUACGUGCCAGCAGCCGCCGUAA